AGUGAACGCUGGCGGUAGGCCUAACACAUGCAAGUCGAACGGCAGCACAGUAAGAGCUUGCUCUUACGGGUGGCGAGUGGCGGACGGGUGAGGAAUACAUCGGAAUCUACUUUUUCGUGGGGGAUAACGUAGGGAAACUUACGCUAAUACCGCAUACGACCUACGGGUGAAAGCAGGGGAUCUUCGGACCUUGCGCGAUUGAAUGAGCCGAUGUCGGAUUAGCUAGUUGGCGGGGUAAAGGCCCACCAAGGCGACGAUCCGUAGCUGGUCUGAGAGGAUGAUCAGCCACACUGGAACUGAGACACGGUUCAGACUCCUACGGGAGGCAGCAGUGGGGAAUAUUGGACAAUGGGCGCAAGCCUGAUCCAGCCAUACCGCGUGGGUGAAGAAGGCCUUCGGGUUGUAAAGCCCUUUUGUUGGGAAAGAAAAGCGGCAGGUUAAUACCCCGCUGUUCUGACGGUACCCAAAGAAUAAGCACCGGCUAACUUCGUG
rnacentral:rRNA from 1 species